GCGAGUAUAGUUCAGUGGCAGAACGCUGUCCUGAUAAGACAGAGGCCGAUGGUUCGAUUCCAUCUACUCGCA
rnacentral:tRNA from 5 species